rnacentral:misc_RNA from 1 species
GAUGAUGAACGUAGCGAAAUGCGAUAAGUAAUGUGAAUUGCAGAAUUCAGUGAAUCAUCGAAUCUUUGAACGCACAUUGCGCCCGCCAGUAUUCUGGCGGGCAUGCCUGUUCGAGCGUCAUUUCAACCAUCAAGCCCCAGGCUUGUGUUGGGGACCUGCGGCUGCCGCAGGCCCUGAAAACCAGUGGCGGGCUCGCUGUCACACCGGGCGUAGUAGAUUUUAUCUCGCUCUGGGCGUGCUGCGGGUUCCGGCCGUUAAAAAACCCUUUUAACCCAAGGUUGACCUCGGAUCAGGUAGGAAUACCCGCUGAACUUAAGCAUAUCAAUAAGCGGAGGA